rnacentral:rRNA from 1 species
GGGGACUUUGGCAAUGGGCGAAACCUGACCCAGCCAUGCCGCGUGAGGGAUGAAGGCCCUCGGGUUGUAAAACUCUUUUGUCCGGGAAGAAAACGCUGAGGGUAUUAUGCGAAUGCCCGGCCCCUAACUAAAAAACAGCCGCCGUCCAACUACGGGGGAGCGGCGCGUUAUGCGGGAUCGGUGCUUAUCCGGUCUCCAUAGAUUGUCCGGGGAGGGUGGGUGGCCUCUACGGUCAGUCUACAACAGAAAGGCCAUACACACACGCGGGCUCGUGAAAGAUGCGGGCUCGAAUUAAUUCCCGAGGAGCGGGCAAAAAUUUCUUUAUGCUGGAAAUACUAUUUUGUUUAACAUCGGGACCCUACUUCGGGUCCUGGAACGCCUUACCCGGGAAUAUAUAGCUCGUGCCGUCAAUGAUGAUAUGUGCUUCCAAAAAAGAAACCUAAAUACCCCACCUAGGCCCCCCCCUUUG